rnacentral:rRNA from 1 species
GAUGAACGCUAGCGGCAGGCCUAACACAUGCAAGUCGUGGGGCAGCACAGGAAAGUAGUAAUACUUUUGGGUGGCGACCGGCGGACGGGUGCGUAACGCGUAUACAACCUGCCUUCUACUGGGGGAUAAUUCGGAGAAAUCUGGUCUAAUACCCCAUAACAACCGAUGAGGCAUCUCAUUGGUUUAAAAGCUCCGGCGGUAGAAGAUGGGUAUGCGUGACAUUAGAUAGUUGGUGGGGUAACGGCUCACCAAGUCGACGAUGUCUAGGGGGACUGAGAGGUUCACCCCCCACACUGGUACUGAGACACGGACCAGACUCCUACGGGAGGCAGCAGUGAGGAAUAUUGGUCAGUGGACGCAAGUCUGAACCAGCCAUGCCGCGUGCAGGAAGACGGCUCUAUGAGUUGUAAACUGCUUUUGUACGAGGGUAAACCCAGGGACGUGUCCUUGGUUGAAAGUUCCGUACGAAUAAGGAUCGGCUAACUCCGUGCCAGCCGCCGCGGUAA